AGGACGAACGCUGGCGGCGUGCUUAACACAUGCAAGUCGAGCGGAAAGGCCCUUCGGGGUACUCGAGCGGCGAACGGGUGAGUAACACGUGAGCAACCUGCCCCUGGCUCUGGGAUAGCCUCCGGAAACGGGGAUUAAUACCGGACAUGACCUGCUGCCGCAUGGUGGCGGGUGGAAAGUUUUUCGGCCAGGGUGGGGCUCGCGGCCUAUCAGCUUGUUGGGGGGGUGACGGCCCACCAAGGCGACGACGGGUAGCCGGCCUGAGAGGGCGACCGGCCACACUGGGACUGAGACACGGCCCAGACUCCUACGGGAGGCAGCAGUGGGGAAUAUUGCGCAAUGGGCGGAAGCCUGACGCAGCGACGCCGCGUGCGGGAUGAAGGCCUUCGGGUUGUAAACCCCUUUCAGCACAGACGAAGCGCAAGUGACGGUAUGUGCAGAAGAAGCACCGGCCAACUACGCGCCAGCAGCCGC
rnacentral:rRNA from 1 species